CUGAACAUCCUCUGUAGGAAAUUUAAUUGAUUAAAGGGACUAUCCCUCGGAGAAUGCACACAUUUUUGUUCCAUAAUAUCUGAUUACGAUCUGUUUGUGUUCCUUAGAAACGAGUUUUGUUUCUGCUGCCCUUGUUGUUUUUUAUGGUCCAGCGGUGAGACCCAGAGACGAAUUGUUCAGAGGGUGGAAUAUAAUAAUGUAAAGGUGACGAAGACCAAGCUAAGAAUGCAUCUGAUGAGUGGUAUGAUGAAGAAGCCUGCUUUGGCAGUUGAAUUAUUAGUUCCAGUCAUUUUCUCACUGUGUUGUCGUAGUGCUGUGCAUCUACAUCUCUACCACAGCUUCAAGGUGAGCAAACACUAGUUCCCCCCUAUAUUAAUCAGCCUUCUGUUACUGUAAUGAA
rnacentral:lncRNA from 1 species